AGAAUGCGUUGGAUUUCCAGCUCGACGGCCUUCUUGUCCUCCUCCAUGGAAUCGAUGCGCUUCUGUAGUUUUCCACAGUUCAGCUGGAGCUUCUCAUAGUCACCGCUCAGAUUCUCAAACUAAAGAAACUUUAUAUUCCCAACCCAUUUGGAGAUACGAGAUCCCGGUGCUGAUGCCCUUAGCCCCUUGCAAAUGCAAUCUUCGCCGCCAUAAUUUGUAACUCAUCGCAGACAUGGCUCUUCACCCCGGAUUUGAGUUGGGAUCACCAUAAGUAUAGUACAAAAUCUACGGCGUAAUCAGACUCAGACAGAGACUAAUCGAGUUAUCACCGAACCGCCCCCAAUGUGCCUUGACAUCCACACUUGGAAAAAAACCAGACGCUUUAAUCUUUCACAAAGAGUUUCCAUAAAAUAUUCCCAGACCCAGAAUUCCAUGAGAUAGUUAUAUAUUACAUUCUUUUUACGAUUAACUAUUUUAAGGGGUAAAAAGUACUAACUAUAAAAUACUUUAUCAGGA